rnacentral:rRNA from 1 species
CUAAUACAUGCAAGUCGAGCGAACAGACGAGGAGCUUGCUCCUCUGACGUUAGCGGCGGACGGGUGAGUAACACGUGGAUAACCUACCUAUAAGACUGGGAUAACUUCGGGAAACCGGAGCUAAUACCGGAUAAUAUAUUGAACCGCAUGGUUCAAUAGUGAAAGACGGUUUUGCUGUCACUUAUAGAUGGAUCCGCGCCGCAUUAGCUAGUUGGUAAGGUAACGGCUUACCAAGGCGACGAUGCGUAGCCGACCUGAGAGGGUGAUCGGCCACACUGGAACUGAGACACGGUCCAGACUCCUACGGGAGGCAGCAGUAGGGAAUCUUCCGCAAUGGGCGAAAGCCUGACGGAGCAACGCCGCGUGAGUGAUGAAGGUCUUCGGAUCGUAAAACUCUGUUAUUAGGGAAGAACAAAUGUGUAAGUAACUAUGCACGUCUUGACGGUACCUAAUCAGAAAGCCACGGCUAACUACGUGCCAGCAGCCGCGGUAAUACGUAGGUGGCAAGCGUUAUCCGGAAUUAUUGGGCGUAAAGCGCGCGUAGGCGGUUUUUUAAGUCUGAUGUGAAAGCCCACGGCUCAACCGUGGAGGGUCAUUGGAAACUGGAAAACUUGAGUGCAGAAGAGGAAAGUGGAAUUCCAUGUGUAGCGGUGAAAUGCGCAGAGAUAUGGAGGAACACCAGUGGCGAAGGCGACUUUCUGGUCUGUAACUGACGCUGAUGUGCGAAAGCGUGGGGAUCAAACAGGAUUAGAUACCCUGGUAGUCCACGCCGUAAACGAUGAGUGCUAAGUG